UUUUUUGGUCUUGUAAUUUACAGGAAGCAGUACGCCGUCUUCACAACUCGGAGACAAACUGUAGCAGGCGCUACGAACCAGAGCAAGGAUAACUCUGUUGUAUAAGGACAUAGAUACUUAAUAGAUACCGAUUUUAACCGUACUUUUUUUUUUUUUUUUUUACACACUAACCUCGCCUCAUAACGAGGCUGUGACCUAUAUUUGCUCGGAGCUAUGUCUGCAAGUCCAGAUUUACGCUGAUAAUGACACCAUUGUGUCUGCCUGUAAGACAUAUUACGAGACAGCACGCAGGAGCUUCAGCUAGAAACAACCAGAUGUGGCAUUGCGGGCAGAAGCUGUGAAGAGUUCAGCUCGGAGUGGGUCCAGAAGAAAAGUGGCUGCUGGAAGUGAGACAGAGUGUGCUGAGGUGGGCAUUUGGAAGUGCGCCACCAUGGACAAUGCACCACAGACGUCUGCAAAAUGGACCGAAUUCAGACCGAAUGCUGCCGGUUACCAACAGCUCCGAGGCGGCAGCGGGUUAGGUGUGGACGGUGCUGCUCCUUGUGAGUGUGGGAUAUUGUGUGUGCUGUGUGUCUCCGAUGCUUUGUACAUAGUUUUUUUUCUAAUUGCGUU